UACGUAGGGUGCGAGCGUUUGUCCGGAAUUAUUGGGCGUAAAGGGCUCGUAGGCGGUCUGUCGCGUCGGGAGUGAAAACUCAGGGCUUAACCCUGAGCCUGCUUCCGAUACGGGCAGACUAGAGGUAUGCAGGGGAGAACGGAAUUCCUGGUGUAGCGGUGGAAUGCGCAGAUAUCAGGAGGAACACCGGUGGCGAAGGCGGGUCUCUGGGCAGUAACUGACGCUGAGGAACGAAAGCGUGGGUAGCAAACAGG
rnacentral:rRNA from 1 species